UUCCCCCCAACACUUAGUCGCUUUGUCUGAAACUUUCGAAACCUAAUUGAUAGACUCAGUGUUGACUGCCUCCUUCUUCGCAUCCCCGACCUUAGCUCCUUCUCCAACCUGCGCUCGUUCUCCGGGUUCAGCUUUUUCUUUCUCGUUCUUCCCUGAAACCCUAGCGUUCUCCUCCUUCCUCUCCUGCUCUCUUUCCACAGCUACUGUCUCUUCCUUAUUGAACUACUGCCUCCGAUCCCUCACCGGCGCCAUCGCCUCUACCUAUACUUCUCGUCCAACGCCACCACGUCGUUGCUCCUAGAUCCGAACCCCAACUGGUCCAACCGGCCUCCAAGGAGUCUAUCCUCCUCGAUUGGUGCGACUUCGAGCACCAAAUGCCAGCGACGGAGGAACUGAACACAACCGCAAUGACGACGGCGCGACCGGCAUCAGAUUCCGGGUUCUUCUUGCUAUCUCUCCGUCUCUACCCAUAUUUCUUCUGCAUAAAGAUAAAAUCGCAGAAUUGCAGCAGCCAUGGCCACUGCGCUGCCCUUGGAUCCUCCAAAGAUCGACUCAGAAGCCGCUUACACGGAGCCAAAACCUAACCCUAAUCCUUCAAAUUUUGGUUGAGAAAUGUCAGAAAGGGAAAACCAAGAAGCAAAUAAAUUUGAAUAAUGAUUUUUCGUAUUUGAUGAGCUGCAGAGUUUGUUUGAUAAUCUGGGUAGUUCUAUUUUUGUAUGAUUGAGCUGAUUUUGAGGUUUCUUGUUGUUGUAGUUGAUAAUUGGUGGAGAAAUGUCAGAGAGGGAAAACCAAGAAGCAAAUCAAUUUAGGGAGAGAUGGUUUGACUCACAAUAUGUUGAAUGAUAUUCAUAACCAUUGGAAACAUGAAGAAGCAGUGAGGAUAAAAUGUCAAGAUCAGCGCCUCAAUGAUAUUGUUGGUAGUGCAUACUAUGUUGCACCUAAAGUGCUACAUAGAUCCUACAGUGUUGAAGCAGAUAUGUGGAGCAUAGGGUGUCCCAGAAGCCAAAGAUUUUGUUGAGAGGCUUCUGAACAAGGAUCACAGAAAAAGAAUGACUGCUGCUCAAGCUUUAAGCCACCCAUGGCUAAGGGAUGAAAGACAAGCUGUGCCUUUAGAUUUAGUAAUCCACAAGUUGGUUAAGUCAUAUGUUCGUGCCACACCUUUCAGGCGUGCAGCAAUGAAGGCUCUUUCCAAGGCUAUGACAGAAGAUGAGCUCUACUAUCUUAGGGCUCAGUUUACGCUCUUGGAACCCAAACAUGGACACGUAUCCCUCGAUAAUUUCAGAACGUGGCACGCAGAUUAAGACCCGCAAACGGAAUAUUGCAGUGCCGCUGGACCCUGCAGCUUUUGCAGAUGCAAUGGUCCAGAUUUUAUCUGGAUAAUGCUGGUGAUCUGGAACUUAUUGCCAAGAGCAUUGAAUCUUCAGACCUUAACUUCUCAAGAUACGGUGACAUCUUUUUUUAGG